UUUUAUCAGAGUCAAAAUAUAGAUGCCUGGCAACAUCAUCUUUUAUCUCCUACUACUGGAGAGAGCAAUUCCUCUCACACAGUCCUGACAUAAAACGCCACUUGUAAAGAGACAGUGGAACAGGGAACAAACAGAUUAAUGAGCUAUCCAAAGAAAAAGGAAACCUCCAAAGAUGAAACCUAUUGGAAGGAAAUUAACGCAGCCAUGGCCUUAACUAAUCUGGCACAAGCAAAAGGCAAAAUUCAAGGAACAACCAGCUGUAUCAUUCAAAAGUCUUCACAUAUUUCCGAAAUAAAGACAUUGAAAAUUUCAUCGGGUAAACCGUUUUAAAGAAAAAACUUAAAUGACUUUAAGCAUUUCUGAAGCAAAACUAUUCCAUGUAUAUAUUUUGAAAAAAAAUUUACAACCAAAUGCUGACUCCUGGCUCUUGAAGCCAGUCUAGAACAAAUCCAUUUUUGAAAAUCUAAUCUUAUGUUUAUUAAUAUAUUUAGGAUCUUGCAGCAGUUUUUAAAUCUUUUGUAAUAACACAUAUAUUUUUGCUGUUGUUGGCCAGCUUUUUUUAAACCAAGAACUGACUGUAAAUUGUUAAAACGGUACAAUUUCUGUAAAAGCAUUAACUUAUUUUAUGUUACUCAAAUUAAUCUUUGACAUCUCAUGUUGGUGUUGUCAGCAUGAAUAUAAUGUAAUAUAAAUAAUAUAUCAAUAAGCUACAUGUUGCACACUGAAAGCAUAUUUGCCAUUGUGAAAUUGUACUUUCAUAUAACAUGAACAAUUCCAUGUUGUAAGACUCUUAUGUGACAAACAAAACCGAAAAAUGUCUACAGCAUGGAAUGUACAUUGUGGUCCUGGAAGAAAAACAUUGUGAUUGUUCUGGCAUGUCACUUUAUUUUGACUUCAGUUAUAGCUUGUUGACUUUAUUUUGGCUUAGAGAACACGUGUUGAAAAUAUAUGACAACUGGCAUAUCAUACAGGUCUUAACAGUGAUCUAAUUAGAAGCAGUGACAUUAUACACUCAGGAUUCAAACAUGCUGAAUGAUUAGCCAAUUUUAAGCUGGAAAGCUCCAAAGAUAAACUGAAGCUCAAAAUGUUGCUUUACAUGGUGACCAUAUUUCAAUAUUUCUAAAUCUGGAUGAAUAUGUCAGCAUGCAUUGGCCUCCAUAAGUGACUAGUGUUACUUCAUUUAAAACACAAAGGUACUUUUAAUAGAAUAAGAUAAAGGAAUAGAAAAAGCUGCUCAAAACAGAAUAAUAGGCAUAGGGACUGACUUUAGUAUACUGAGUAUAUGGUGUUUCUGAGGGAUGAAUUAAGAUGUUACAACUGUAAUAAAGUUCAUCAUGUGCCAAUUUUGCCUACUUGUAUCCAAAUUCCAUUUGAAAAUAUUAGAUAUUUACAAAUGGCCUCAAAAAAGCAGAAAUCAGCAACAACAAUGGGGUCCCAAAACAUAAUAAUAACCCACCAAAAAAAAUGACUCUUUCCUGCUGUGUUGAACAUUCUGAUGUUAAUUUUAUACUGUAUGGACCAUAGAAUUGUAAAAAUGAUAUAUGGCUUGUUAAGCUGGGCCAGAACCAUCAAAAUGAUCCAUUAUGCAUUUGGAGUCAGAUAAUUUAUACAUGGGUACAAAAGAGCAAGAUCGUUUGGGCAUAGUGACUUACAUGUAAAACACAUUUGUGUCCAAAUUUCUUCAAAAUCUGACAAUCUUCUUGCUUUGCAUCCAAUUUCACGUCUUUGGAGAUCAUUACCCAAGGAAUUCCACCUCACCACAUUUGUGCACAAUUGUGAUCUUCAAAAAUCUAUUAAUUUGCUUGCCAGUUAUAUAUUUAAUGAUCAAAUACAAUGGAAUUUUGUGCUGUUUGUGCUUAAAAACUGUCUUGAGUUAGGCGCACAUUUCUUCAACCUUGUGCCUAUAAAUGAAGCCGAUGAACAGGGAAGUUUAACCAGGAGAAAGUGAGGACUGCAGAUGCUGGAGA